CAGUAGCCACGGUAAUACGAAGGGGGCUAGCGUUGUUCGGAAUUACUGGGCGUAAAGCGCACGCAGGCGGCUCGAUAAAUUAGAAGUGAAAGCCUUGGGCUUAACCUGAGAAUUGCUUUUAAGACUGUCGAGCUAGAAUCCAGAAGAGGGUAGUGGAAUUCCGAGUGUAGAGGUGAAAUUCGUAGAUAUUCGGAAGAACACCAGUGGCGAAGGCGACUACCUGGUCUGGCAUUGACGCUCAUGUGCGAAAGCGUGGGGAGCAAACAGGAUUAGAGACCCCAGUAGUCCCUGUCUCUUAUAC
rnacentral:rRNA from 1 species